AGUCGACGGUGAAGAGGAGCUUGCUCCUUGGAUCAGUGGCGAACGGGUGAGUAACACGUGAGCAAUCUGCCCUUGACUCUGGGAUAACUGCGGGAAACUGUAGCUAAUACCGGAUAUUACCUUGGAAGGCAUCUUCUGGGGUGGAAAGAAUUUCGGUCAGGGAUGGACUCGCGGCCUAUCAGCUAGUUGGUGAGGUAAUGGCCCACCAAGGCGACGACGGGUAGCCGGCCUGAGAGGGUGACCGGCCACACUGGGACUGAGACACGGCCCAGACUCCUACGGGAGGCAGCAGUGGGGAAUAUUGCACAAUGGGCGCAAGCCUGAUGCAGCAACGCCGCGUGAGGGACGACGGCCUUCGGGUUGUAAACCUCUUUUAGUAGGGAAGAAGCGAAGUGUUUUACAUGGAGUGACGGUACCUGCAGAAAAAGCACCGGCUAACUACGUGCCAGCAGCCGCGGUAAUACGUAGGGUGCAAGCGUUAUCCGGAAUUAUUGGGCGUAAAGAGCUCGUAGGCGGUUUGUCGCGUCUGCUGUGAAAACUGGGGGCUCAACCCCCAGCCUGCAGUGGGUACGGGCAGACUAGAGUGCGGUAGGGGAGAUUGGAAUUCCUGGUGUAGCGGUGGAAUGCGCAGAUAUCAGGAGGAACACCAAUGGCGAAGGCAGAUCUCUGGGCCGUAACUGACGCUGAGGAGCGAAAGCAUGGGGAGCGA
rnacentral:rRNA from 1 species